CAACAUGCACUCUGCAACCACAUUAGGAGUCCUGAUUUUCCACUCUUUGUGUGUGGAACUGUAUUCGGUAAAAUACUGUUAUCAAAUCCACUGCACGGACUUGUGUGCCUCGGACAUCCAAGUCGAGACCUGCCAAGAUCCACAUUCACUGUGCGGUUCGACCACACUCCUGGCAGCUCCGAACGCAUCAAGACAUGCGUCCCCACCGACUUCAUACCCUACUGGAUCGACCAAUGCCGCACUCACAACGACAUCGGAGGCUCUUGCUAUUUAUGCAACGAAGAGCUCUGUAAUUUCCAAGACUCAAUAAAAUUCCAUUAAAAUCGUUUUACUGUGUAUGCGUUGCGUGCUGUGUCGGUGCGUUAAGACAAAGAAUACAGUUAAAAUAUAAUGAUGAUCGGAAUCGGAAUAAAAAAGGAAAUUACCGGUGGGAAGUGGGACGCU